AAAGCUCAGCUGGGUAGAGCAUCCCGAUUUUAAUCGGGACGGUCGAAGGUUCGAAUCCUUCU
rnacentral:tRNA from 1 species